CGAGAAGCUCACCUUCGGGUGAGUGGACAGUGGCAGACGGGUGAGUAACGCGUGGGAAUUUACCAAGAGGUACGGGACAACCACUGGAAACGGUGACUAAUACCGUAUGAGCCCCUUCGGGGGGAAAGAUUUAUCGCCUUUUGAUGAGCCCGCGUUGGAUUAGGUAGUUGGUGGGGUAAAAGCCCACCAAGCCCACGAUCCAUAGCUGUUCUGAGAGGAAGAUCAGCCACACUGGGACUGAGACACGGCCCAGACUCCUACGGGAGGCAGCAGUGGGGAAUCUUGCACAAUGGGCGAAAGCCUGAUGCAGCCAUGCCGCGUGAGUGAAGAAGGCCCUAGGGUUGUAAAGCUCUUUCGCCAGGGAAGAUAAUGACGGUACCUGGUAAAGAAGCCCCGGCUAACUCCGUGCCAGCAGCCGCGGUAAUACGGAGGGGGCUAGCAUUGUUCGGAAUUACUGGGCGUAAAGCGCGCGUAGGCGGGUACACAAGUUGGGGGUGAAAUCCCGGAGCUCAACUCCGGAACUGCCUUCAAAACUGUGUACCUAGAGUUCGAGAGAGGUGAGUGGAAUUCCUAGUGUAGAGGUGAAAUUCGUAGAUAUUAGGAAGAACACCAGUGGCGAAGGCGGCUCACUGGCUCGAUACUGACGCUGAGGUGCGAAAGCGUGGGGAGCGAACAGGAUUAGAUACCCUGGUAGUCCACGCCGUAAACGAUGAGUGCUAG
rnacentral:rRNA from 1 species